AGGAGAAAGGGAGUGGAGGCGCGUCGGAGACUAUGAAGCGCGGCGUUCGGCGGGAUCCUUUCCGGAAGCGGAAGCUCGGCGGGCGGGCCAAGAAGGUCCGGGAGCCCACGGCGGUUAAUUCUUUUUACCGUGAGGCUUCACUUCCCUUGGUCUGGGCUUCUCUGAGGCGGCGAGAGAUGGUCAGGUCUGGAGCUCGACCGGGCCAGGUGUUAUCUUCAGGAAGGCACACUGGACCUGCUAAAUUAACAAAUGGAAAGAAAGCGUAAGUACUUGAAGACGUUUACAACUUCAGAUUUCAAGGAAUUUUUCAGGUCUUUGGGCUGGAUGACAUGUCGUCUACCCCAGAAAAUUAGGUAGGCCUCUACCAUCACAAGCUCUGAGGAACAAUUUUUCAUGUCUACCCAUGUUAAUCAUUUUAGUAUUUAACAGUCUUUCUGAUCUUCAGAAUGUGUUUAUAAAUUCAUCUUGUACAUGGUUGGACAAGCUUUCUUGUCUUUGCUGGAAAGAAAAUGACCACUUACUAAUAUAUUUUGGGAAAAAUAUUUGUAAGAAUAUUAAUGAGCUUGUUUUCCAGGACCUAUUUAAGAAAAAUACCACGUUUUAAUGCAGAUUCUGGCUAUUCCAUCCAUUCUGAUUCAGAAAGUCAGGUAAGAUUGAAUAGAUACAAUACACACUAUUUUAAUUAGUUUUCAAAUGGUAGCUAAAAAGUAGGAAUAAAAUGCAAAGUAUUAAUUGCUCUAAGGAAGUAUGAAGUCUGUUGCUUUAAAACAUCUUUUCUACCAAUAAUAGUUUGUAAAUAAACAAAUUUUAAAACUACAUAAUUUAUAUUUUUUCCUACACUAACAGUUAUAUACAAAUGUAUUCUAAAUGACUUUAUUUCUUACAGGCUGAAACUGUACACGGGCUUGAUGGUUGUGCUUCUUUGCUGAGGGACAUUUUGAGAAAUGAAGAUUCAGGUUUAUUUUUUUUAAUUCUUUGCUGAUCACCUUAUCUCAAGUCAUUAUUUUGAUGUUAACAAAUUUUUGUUUUAUUAAUAGGUUCAGAAACAGCAUAUUUAGAAAACAGAUCUAAUUCUAGACCUUUAGAAAGCAAAAGAUAUGGAUCAAAAAAGAAAAGACAUGAAAAACAUACUAUUCCUUUGGUAGUCCAGAAAGAAACAUCAUCUUCAGAUAAUAAGAAACAGAUACCUAAUGAAGCUUCUGCUAGAAGUGAAAGAGACACAUCAGACCUAGAACAAAACUGGUCAUUGCAAGAUCAUUAUAGAAUGUAUUCACCCAUAAUAUACCAAGCCCUCUGUGAGCACGUGCAGACUCAGAUGUCACUGAUGAAUGACUUGACUUCAAAGAACAUCCCUAAUGGAAUUCCUGCUGUACCAUGCCAUGCUCCCUCUCAUUCUGAAUCUCAGGCAACUCCUCAUUCUAGUUAUGGCUUAUGUACCUCCACUCCAGUCUGGUCACUUCAGCGGCCACCCUGCCCUCCAAAGGUUCAUUCUGAAGUUCAAACUGACGGCGACAGUCAGUUUGCAUCACAAGGUAAAACAGUUUCUGCAACCUGUACUGAUGUUCUAAGGAAUUCAUUUAAUACCAGUCCUGGAGUUCCAUGUAGCCUGCCCAAAACUGACAUAUCAGCUAUUCCAACAUUGCAGCAACUGGGCCUUGUUAAUGGAAUUCUGCCACAACAAGGAAUUCAUAAGGAAACAGACCUACUAAAAUGUAUUCAAACAUAUUUGUCUCUUUUUCAAUCUCAUGGAAAAGAAACGCAUCUGGACAGUCAGACACACCGAAGCCCUACUCAGUCACAGCCAGCUUUCUUGGCCACUAAUGAAGAAAAAUGUGCCAGAGAGCAAAUUAGAGAGGCCACAAGUGAAAGAAAGGAUUUAAACAUACAUGUGCGAGAUAUAAAAACAGUGAAGGAUGUACAGAAGGCAAAAAAUGUGAACAAGACAACUGAAAAAGUUAGAAUUAUAAAAUAUUUGUUGGGAGAGCUCAAGGCCCUGGUGGCAGAACAAGAGGAUUCAGAAAUUCAGAGGUUGAUUACAGAAAUGGAGGCAUGUAUAUCUGUACUUCCAACAGUAAGUGGAAACACAGAUAUUCAAGUUGAGAUAGCACUGGCCAUGCAACCAUUAAGAAGUGAGAAUGCUCAGUUACGAAGGCAGUUGAGAAUUUUAAACCAGCAACUCAGAGAACAACAGAAAACUCAAAAACCAUCUGGUGCUGUGGAUUGCAACCUUGAAUUGUUUUCUCUUCAGUCAUUGAAUAUGUCACUGCAAAAUCAAUUGGAGGAGUCGCUAAAGAGCCAGGAAUUACUGCAGAGUAAAAAUGAAGAGCUGUUAAAAGUGAUUGAAAAUCAGAAAGAUGAAAACAAAAAAUUUAGUAGUAUAUUUAAAGACAAAGAUCAAACUAUACUUGAAAAUAAACAGCAAUAUGAUAUUGAGAUAACAAGAAUAAAAAUUGGUACGUAUUUAGACAGUAGUUAUGGUCACAUCUUUUAAAAGGAAUAAGGAAACUGAAACUUUUGCUGUUUUAGAAUUGGAGGAAGCCCUAGUCAAUGUGAAAAGCUCCCAGUUUAAGUUAGAAACUGCUGAAAAGGAAAACCAGAUAUUGGGGAUAACAUUACGUCAGCGUGAUGCUGAGGUGACUCGACUAAGAGAAUUAACCAGAAAGCAGAAGAUGCACCUGAAAAACUUUCCAGAGCAUCUGAUAUGAAGGACACACAGCUCCUCAAGAAAAUAAAGGAAGCAAUUGGUAAGAUCCCUGCUGCCACCAAGGAGCCAGAGGAACAAACUGCAUGUCAUGGCCCAUCAGGUUGUCUUAGCAACAGCCUUCAAGUGAAAGGCAAUACUGUCUGUGAUGGUAGUGUUUUCACUUCUGACUUGAUGUCUGACUGGAGCAUCUCUUCGUUUUCAACGUUCACUUCUCGUGAUGAACAAGACUUCAGAAAUGGCCUUGCGGCAUUAGAUGCCAACAUAGCUAGACUCCAGAAGUCUUUAAGGACUGGUCUUCCGGAGAAAUGAAUUCAGAAGAAAACUCAUCAGGUGCUUCUUUUUAAAACUAGAACUUGGCUAUAUUGAAUGUGUAUUUUUCUUUAGUGAAAUGAUGUUUUAUGUUAUUAUGUUUGAAGUAAUACAUUGUACAAGUAAUAAAUGUAUUGUUAAGAUAUAUUGACACUGAGGAGCUUAUAAAAACAAGUCAUCUUAAGUUCACAAUUGCUACAAGAAGAAAGUUGUAGAUAACUAGGAAAUUAUUGUAAGUAAUGUUUUAUUUCAGUACUUAGCAAUUAGAGUUCUUUUAUUAAGAUGUAUCUGCUGGAUUAAGGGUACAGGUUGAAAUAGUUCUGUGGUUGUCCUAAGAAAUAAUGGGAAAAGAAGCUCUGGAUGUAAGUUUUUCUGUUGAAACUAGAGGGGUUUUUUUUUUUUCUGUUUCCAUAUACUUUUUUUUAAUAGCAAUGUGUUUUUAUUAAACAUGCUGUGUGCCACAGGCCAGUGUUGUUGGUGAAAUAUAUAAACAUUUAUUUAAAGAGAAAAGUUACCAGUAUCUACACCUCUUAAAAAACAUUGAUUGGUCUAAAAAAUAUAUAGAUAACAUCCAAAAUUAACAUAUGGCUUCUUAAAACUUGGUCACUUUUAUUUGUUUUUAUCCCAAAUUCAUGUUUUAAGGCCUUUAAAGAAUAGUCAGACUGAUAAAGAAGUGCUAACAGAUAAGCUAUAGUUGGGGAAAUUUGUGAGUUUUUUAAAAAUAAGAAAUGUUUAUUUUUGUCCUUAUAUUUAAACAUGAUGGAAUUUGUAAAUCUUGGCAUUGAUUGUAAUUCUGCCUUUUUGGAAGAGUUUUUUUUUCCAGCAUGUUAGCUGAGAAUAUUCUCUAUUUUACAAAUAAUAUGAAGUAGGUUGGUCUCUCUGCUUCUCUAUACCAGGACUUCUUAGCUCAAUAUCAUCUCCCUUCAUGUAAGCAGCACGUUUUAACUCUUAGGAAGCUGAAUGUUGUGUUAUCACUAAUACUUUGUACAGGUCACCUGCCUACUCUAAUUGUCUUUAGUACUUGGACAGGCUUUAUCAUUAAAGUAGUGUUCUCCUAA
rnacentral:sRNA from 1 species